CUCAGGAUGAACGCUAGCGGCAGGCUUAAUACAUGCAAGUCGUGGGGCAGCAUGAGUAGCAAUACUUGAUGGCGACCGGCAAACGGGUGAGGAACACGUACACAACCUUCCUUCAAGCGGGGAAUAGCCCAGAGAAAUUUGGAUUAAUACCCCAUAAUAUAUUUGAUAAGGCAUCUUAUUAAUAUUAAAGCUUCGGCACUUGAUGAUGGGUGUGCGGCUGAUUAGAUAGUUGGCGGGGUAACGGCCCACCAAGUCUACGAUCAGUAGCUGAUGUGAGAGCAUGAUCAGCCACACGGGCACUGAGACACGGGCCCGACUCCUACGGGAGGCAGCAGUAAGGAAUAUUGGACAAUGGACGAAAGUCUGAUCCAGCCAUGCCCGCGUGAAGGAUUAAGGUCCUCUGGAUUGUAAACUUCUUUUAUAUGGGACGAAAAAAGGGCAUUCUUGUUCACUUGACGGUACCAUAUGAAUAAGCACCGGCUAACUCCGUG
rnacentral:rRNA from 1 species